rnacentral:rRNA from 1 species
AUGGCAGCUGUCCGGCGGCAGGCGGCGGCGAAGCGGGGCGGAGGUGGCGCGGCCGGAAAGAGCGCAUGGCUGGCGGCUGACGGGAGCAAGAGGUGGGGGGAGAAGUUCUUCCUGCUAUACACGCCCUUCUGGCUCACGCUCUGCCUCGGUGUCGUCGUCCCCUUCAAGCUCUACGAGAGUUUUACGGAGCUGGAAUAUUUGGUUCUUGGAUUGGUGUCAACCGUGCCUGCUUUUGUCAUCCCUCUGCUCUUCGUAGGAAAGGCAGAUAGUAUUAGAAGUUUAAAAGAUCGUUACUGGGUCAAGGCUAAUGUUUGGAUUAUAAUUUUCAGUUAUGUCGGCAACUACUUUUGGACACAUUACUUUUUCACAGUUCUUGGCGCAUCCUAUACUUUUCCUUCAUGGAGGAUGAAUAAUGUACCCCAUACAACAUUUCUCCUAACUCAUGCCUGCUUCUUGUUUUAUCACAUGGCAUCGAAUAUGACACUUCGUAGAUUACGUCAUUCUACAGCUCACCUGCCACAGUCUAUUCGGUGGUUGUUUGAAGCGGCAUGGAUUUUAGCACUCUCAUACUUCAUUGCAUACUUGGAGACCCUAGCCAUUGCAAAUUUUCCGUAUUACGAAUUCGUCGAUCGGGACAUAAUGUACAAAGUUGGAUCAUUGUUUUAUGCAAUAUACUUCCUCAUCAGCUUUCCGAUGUUCUCAAGGAUCGACGAAAAAGCAGAGAAGUGGGCCCUUUCCAGGGUAGCCGUCGACGCUCUGGGCGCAGCAAUGCUCGUCACGAUAAUACUUGAUUUAUGGCGCAUAUUUCUGGGGCCAAUCGUGCCCAUCCCCGAAUCAAGACGGUGUGGCCAGCCGGGGCUAGCAUGGUUCCAUGCGCAGAAUGAAAGCGUCUAG